UCUUGUUUGCAAGUGAGGUCUGGGGAUGGUAGAAGGCCGCAAAUCACAUGGGGAUAGAUCCCAACGUAAGUAAACCUGGACUGCUCCACUAGACCUUACCAGCACCACUCGUUUUCUUGUUCAGAAUCAAUCUGGGCGGGUAAGUAACAGCUUAAGCCCGAGCCCUAAUAUUCGGAGAGAAGGGGGUAGAGAAAAGUGC
rnacentral:lncRNA from 1 species